UCCGGUGUGGUGUAUCGGUUUAUCAUUCCGCGUUUUCACCGCGGCGAGCGGGGUUCGACUCCCCGCACCGGAG